GCCGGCCCGGCCGCGCCCGCCGCCCUCGCCGCCGUCUCCUCCCGCACUCGCCGCCGCCGGUAAGUCCCUGCCUGGAGGAGCUGCAGCGGUCCCCGAGUCAACUUUCAAUUUUCCCUCCCGCUUUGCUUCCUGCUCGCCAUUCUCGCCGCAGAAGAUGGCUGUUUGGAGAAGGGGGAGAAGUUAAGGGGUCGCUGGCGCGGGGUGAAGGAGGACGCAGCGGCCGCAGCAGGAGCGGGCGGAGAUUUCUCCUCUGCCAGCCUCCCUUGGACGGACAUUUGCUGCUGAACAAAGGCGUGAGCUCUUAUCCAACCCACGGAGAAACCUUCUCCUCAUUCCCAUGAUGAGCUCCCCGGUGCAGCCCGG
rnacentral:lncRNA from 1 species